CUUGUGCAGUCUUAAUUGAUGAUGGUUCAGUUGUAAUUUCUUCAGAAUUUUCAGUGGAUGCAAAGCUUGACAUAAUUCUCUAAGUAUUUGUUGACUGAUA